GUUGUUGCAACUGGAGCUCAAUGAUGAAUUUAUAGGAAAUUACACUACGGAUGAGAAUGGCGAAGCUCAAUUUUCCAUUGACACUUCAGACAUAUUUGAUCCAGAGUUCAACCUAAAAGCCACAUAUGUUCGACCUGAGAGCUGCUAUCUUCCCAGCUGGUUGACGCCUCAGUACUUGGAUGCUCACUUCUUAGUCUCACGCUUUUACUCCCGAACCAACAGCUUCCUGAAGAUUGUUCCAGAACCAAAGCAGCUUGAAUGUAAUCAACAGAAGGUUGUUACUGUGCAUUACUCCCUAAACAGUGAAGCAUAUGAGGAUGAUUCCAAUGUAAAGUUCUUCUAUUUGAUGAUGGUAAAAGGAGCUAUCUUACUCAGUGGACAAAAGGAAAUCAGAAACAAAGCCUGGAAUGGAAACUUCUCGUUCCCAAUCAGCAUCAGUGCUGAUCUGGCUCCUGCAGC
rnacentral:lncRNA from 1 species